rnacentral:lncRNA from 1 species
AUGUUUUCUUUGUAUGUUCUUUGCUGUAGGUACGAGGAUCCUGACAAGUGCCUGAUUCUCUAUGGUGAUGACCAGGGAUGUGUGAACAUUCUGUUUUUGGCUUCUGUCGGUGAACUAUUAAGAACUUGGAAGAAGCUGCCCAAAGUUGAGAACAUGCCAAACAUUAGCAUUAAUAAUGCUGUGAAUUCUCCAAAUGUGAAUUACAUCCGCUGGAAAGUGCACGGAGACUGGGUUACUCAGCUGAACUACUACGAUUCUAUCAACGCCGUUAUCUCAAGCUCCAAUCAUGAGCCCACUGCUCUAGUCAUAGGUGAGCACAUGCAAGUUCAAAGAGAUUUGCCCAUCAGGUCACUUAGCUGGAAGAAGUGGAAUUGGGACCUGACUCCAGUUUUUCUGACCUCAGUGCCCUAUUCCCUAGACCUGGGUUGGUAAGGCCCUGUCCCUCAGGCCUUGGAGUUUGUUUGGGGACAGCUUCGUUUCAAAAGGAGAUUCUGACCCUGGAGCGGAAUAAGUCUCUGAAACGUCAUCAUUCACCCUAGAGCAGCGAGAAAGCUGUAGCCGGUAGAGGGCGCCUCUGUCUUUGGGGUGGGGUCCCUGCAUGCCCAGCAGUAGCAGCAGCCGCCUGAGAAAGGACCAGUGAGGAGCCCAGACCCAGACACGCAGGUCUGCCCCCUGCCCAGUGGAAGCGGGGGAGAGAGAGGCUGGGGAGGCAGGGAUUGGAUGUUCAUCACCGAGGGGGAGUUACGACUUGGGUCUCUUCUUACAUGAGACCUUCUCAGGUAUUUCAUUCGCUGGAAUGAUCUUCACCUUUUCUGCCUCCCCCUCUCAGAGCCAUCCCUGGCCCCACUCCUGGAUUUUAAGGGCCUGCUUUCACCAAGCAGUGCAUUCGUAAGUGAAUAAAAUAUGUAACACCAUCUUCGGCAGCUCACAAGUCAUCCACCCACGUAAUGACAACAGCCAUUUCUUUUAUGAAGCCUUACCACCGAGCUGGGCCCGAGCAUUUCUGAGCUCUGGAGAAGCUGAAACCUCAGGGUUUUUUUUCCUCCUCUCCUUCAGAAUCUCAUUCUAGUCGCCACGGAACAUCAUGGAAAAUCAGUAAUGAGUCAUGCCCAAGGUCUCAGCCGCCUGUGAGACACCUGCUUGCUUCUUUCUUGACAGGAAUCUUACAGCAGCCCUGUCCACCUCUGAUUCGCAGCCUUCAAACCACAUUGUCUUUCAAGGAAAGCUUCCUUGGUAAAUUUCUGAUUCACUGACAUUGAAAUCACUGAAGUGUUGGAAAGAGAUGUGCUCUGGGUAAGAAGUCGCUUGGGAAUUUUCAUUAGACUUUCUUGGAACUAAGAAGUGGUCGUUUUCUAGAACCGUGAUGGAUAUGAAUCUUAAGAAACUGAAAGCCAGCCUCCAGAAGCAGCUCAAAACUCAGUGUUUGUUAUGACAGAACAAAAAUCAGCGAGCCCAGAAGAAGGAUCUCCAGGCUCUAGCCCUGGCUCUGCUGCUCAUAGAGCUGUGACCUCAGGCCUCAGCCCCCUCUCCAGUUCAGUGAGGAAGUUGGACAUGAGCCCAAAGUCACAGAUCUUCCUUUUGCUCUAAGCCCCUGUCCCUCCCUUCCUUCACCUCACAUCAUGGGAAGCAGAGGCCGCUACAGCUCUGAACCCCUGUUAGUGUGUCUAGAAACCUAGAUAGCUCAACUAUAGAAUUCCUCCACCCCGGCCCCUCGCAACAUCGUUGAAGUUUCUGUUUCUCUCCGGAAGGAGAAUGGGGAGGAGCCCUUAGAGCAGAACUCCUGGAAAGACUUGCCCUUUCUUACGCCUGUCCUCCAAGUUGGUCUAAGACCCACUCCAACCCAGCUGUGUCCCUCCACGCCAUUAAAGUCACUCUUGUAAGGGCCACCAGUGCCCCUCCUGCUGCUGAAAUCAGUGACCGGUCCUCGUCCCACUUGCCCUCUCAACACGAGCCGCAGGUCCCUUGGCUUCCUCCCUGCAGUCCUCUCACUUGGCGUGAGGACUCCACCUCUCAUGGUUUCCCGUCCUUCCUGCCUGUAGCCCCUUCUCGUUCUCCCUUACUGGUCGUCUGCAUCGCCAUGACUCGUGUCUAUGACGCAGUGACGGAGCCCCCAGCAUUCAGUCUUUGGUCCUCUUCUCUUCCACAUCUGCACCCCCGCGAUGAGCGCUCCGCUACCACUGCUGUCAAUUCCCAAAAGUACAUCUCUGGCCCAGCCCCCUCCCUGAACUUCUCUCUGGUAUUUCCAGCUGCCUUGGAUCUAUCUCCCAAGGGCACCUCCACUUGGGUAGCUCAUGAGCAUCGAAAUUAAACCCAAACCUGAAUCCAGAUCUUCUUCCUCCCACCGUCUUCCCCAUCUCAUUUGGCUCGAAGUCCAUUCUUCCAGUUGCUCUGGCCAAAGUCUGAUGGUCACCCUUGACUCCUCUCUCACAACCCAUCUAACUUGCUGGCCCUACCUUCAUAACACACCCAGACUCUGGCUGCUGCUCCCCAGCCCCACUGCUACCCUCUAGUGAGAAUCACCACCCUCUCUUCCCUGGGUUCCUGAAACAGCCUCGCUCCUCUCCCUGCCUCCAUCCUGCCCUGUCGUCUCUUCUCCAUGAAGCAGCCAGAGAUACCCUGUAAAACGAGAAGUCAGACCUGUCCAAAUCCUCCAGUGGGCCCCCAUCUCAGUAAAAGUCGGAGUCCUUGGGGGACCUGUGUGUCACCCCAACCCUUGCGUCUCUGGCUUGGUCUCCUCCUUCCCUCCUUCCCUCACUCAGUCACACUGGCUCCUUCAGUAUAUUUAGAAUGUUUUCACUGCUUCUUCCUUGUGCCUGGAAAGUUCUCCCUAAAAAUGUCUGCAUUGCUCACUCCCUCAGCCUCUUGAAGUCUUUGCUCAAAUGUCACUUCUCAGUGAGGCCUCCUUGUCUGCUCUGUUCUAUAUGGCAACAGCCCAGCUCCUGGCUCUGGCAUUCCCUAUCCUUCCUACAUUGAUCUGCCCUUAUUUUGUUUUGUUUUGUUUUGUUUUGUUUGAUUAGGGGCACACCUGCAGC